AUGGCCGGCACCGUCAGUGUGGCGAGCCCGGUGGCGUGGGUGUGGCGCGCCGGUGGCUCGCGCAGUGGAAGCCGGUGGAGGGUGUUUGGCGUGCGGGACGGGGCGGGGGUGGCCGGUGCCGUCGGCCUGCCGAGGCUGCCUGCCUGGCGGACGCGUCGACUGGGGCCGGCCGGGAGAGGCGCGGAGGCGGGAUGGAGGGCCCCGUCGCGCGGGUCAGGCAGAGGCGUGGCGCGCCGGGACGCCGGCGUGGAGGACGCGGCGACCGGGGCUGACCGGGACUGGCGUGGAGGCGGGGUGUCGGGGAGGGCGCGGCAGGCGGGAGGCGGUGGCAAGCUAAGGGGCGGCGCCAGCGGUGGGGUUCCGGAGUUUCGAUCGGACCAGCGCUGCCACUUCGCAAACUGCAGCUCGCAUCUCUCUCUCGCCCCCCCCCCCCCCCUGGCGGCGCCGGCGGCCGAGCCACCGGCGACGCUGAGCAUCUACAAGGCGGCGCGGAGCAUCAAGAGGCGGGCGAGCACGCUGUACAACGCGCUGCGGAGCGUGGCGGAGGACUCGGCCUUCGUGGCGGAGGUCGCCGCGCUGUGGCCGGCGCUGCCGCUGGUCGCCAACCUCCGCUGCGGCCUCUGGUACGCGCCGCCCCUUGCCUUCGCCGCCACCUGCUACUUCAAGUCCACCGACGACCACGCCGGGAACUGGUCCUUCUCGACCGCACGCCUCAACCUCCACCUCGCUCUACUCGCCGGGAACCCAGGUGGGUGCAUAAUAGUUGAUUCAACAAGGAGAGGGAAACGAUUCCCUGAUAGUAUGUCAAAGACCAUACCUAUUGGUGCUGUGUCCUGAACCGAGCAAUCGAGAGGCAUCGGCUGCGAGCUAUCCGCAAGGGUGGUGAAGUGAAUUGUGAACUGACACCAAAAAAUAGCUCUUCUUCAUCUAACUGGGAUAGCUCAGUACAUCUUCCUGUAUGGGUUCUAGGCACUGAGAAAAAUGCUAUAGAGGGGCGCAUUGAGGAAUGGACAGAUCAAUUUGAAUCAUGUGGUGCAGACAUUCAUUCACUUGCAAUAAAUUUGCAAAAGCCACUACGUCCUCUAUGGAUAUCACAAAGGACACGCAUGUGGUUAAAUGAAGUGCCAGAGAUUGACUCAUGGGAUUUCACUCCUAUCAUACUAAUUUCUGCAUCGGCAUCGGAUGCAGUUGCUACGCAAAGGAUGUCUUCAGAAUUCAGCUGGCAAUAUAUCCCUGGAGCAGGAGAUGAUGAAGAGAGUUGGGCACGUGGUUUAACUCCUACCUUAUUCUGGAAACAUUCAUAUGACCUUGAUGCUGGACCAUAUCAUUGUAAUCAGUUAGUUGCAGAUAUAGUUGAAAAGGAUAGGGUGUAUUGUGCACAGAGAGGUGAACAUUCUCCUCAAAUUACAACUAAGCCUCUGAAGGGCUAUGAUGAUCUCAAACGUAAUGAUGAUCGUACAAGCACUAUGUGGCCUAUGAACUCAGACCCCUGUACCAGUACAACAGAUGCACAAUGUUCCAAUAAUGCUCCACUUCUCUUCUGGAUUGGAACAUCAAACCUUGCAAUAUCAUCUACUCUCCAAGAUGCCUUGCUUGAUGUGGACUGCAUACUGAAUUGUGACAGUACUUCAAAGUUACCGUCUAAUUCAUCAGAAAAUUCUUACCUUGAGCUAUCUAUUGUGGGCUCAAAGGAUGACCGGUUUUCAUUGAUGAAAAACCUUUCAAAGGCAGUUGACUUUGGUAAGAGGAAUUUGCUCGCUGGAAGAAAAAUACUUGUAUGCUGUCAAAAUGGAGAAGGUAUAAGUAUUUGUGUUUCCUUGGCAAUAAUGACAAUGUUGUUCGAUGAUAAUGGAUGCUUUGAGUGUGGCAAUUCUUUCAUGAAAAGAGACAUCACAAAGUUGGAGAUGAGGAAGAGGCUGGUAUUCAUUUGCAAAUUUGCAGUAAAUGCACGGCCAUCUAGAGGAAACUUGAAGCAGGUCUAUGGUUUCCUCAGCAAUGAAAAGGAACGUCUGUCACGUUUGAUGUAGUCUAGCUUUGUCUUGUUGUCUUAAGCUGCUGUUUUCAUCCCUUGCAAUAUGCAUCAGAUGAGGUAUUAGUUACUAUUCAUUGCCUGCAUGAAUGGAGUAUCUAUUGGUUUGAACUUCAGAGUUGGUCUUUCACGCCAUUUUAUGGGAUGUGGCUAUACUGGGAAACAAUAAUUCCCAAGGGAUUGCUAAACCUCGGACAAACUAUGACAAAUGAUCUCAUACUGGGAUUAGUAUUUGGGGCUGAGGUUUAUUAGUACAAGUUUGGUUCAAAUCAAUGGCAGAUACAUGCUGACAGGCUUAUAGCUUAGCUAGCUUGAUGAUUAGAGCAUUGAGAUUUGGAGACAAGAUUGCAGAGAUUAAUUUGCGGCAGAAUUGGAACAUCAAACUAGUGUCAUUAAGGGAGCAAUAGUCGUUCAUAGUAAAUUGCACUGCUGCCCUUAUUGUAAACUUGUAACAGUAAAUGCUGUUUUUGGGACUAUAGGCCUUGGUGCCUAAGAAUAAUAUAGAGCAUAAAGACACGUCCAUUGAGCAUUUUUACAGAACGAGA